UACGUAGGUGGCAAGCGUUGUCCGGAAUUAUUGGGCGUAAAGCGCGCGCAGGCGGUCCUUUAAGUCUGAUGUGAAAGCCCCCGGCUCAACCGGGGAGGGCCAUUGGAAACUGGGAGGCUAGAGUGCAGGAGAGGAAGGUAGAAUUCCCGGUGUAGCGGUGAAAUGCGUAGAGAUCGGGAGGAACACCAGUGGCGAAGGCGACUUUCUGGUCUGUAACUGACGCUGAGGCGCGAAAGCGUGGGGAGCAAACAGG
rnacentral:misc_RNA from 1 species